UGCGUAGGCGGUUUGAUAAGUUAGAGGUGAAAUUCCGGGGCUUAACUCCGGCACUGCCUCUAAUACUGUUGAGCUAGAGAGUAGUUGCGGUAGGCGGAAUGUAUGGUGUAGCGGUGAAAUGCUUAGAGAUCAUACAGAACACCGAUUGCGAAGGCAGCUUACCAAACUAUAUCUGACGUUGAGGCACGAAAGCGUGGGGAGCAAACAGGAUUAGAUACCCUCGUA
rnacentral:rRNA from 1 species